rnacentral:rRNA from 1 species
AUGUGGCGCCGAGCCGGACCGAUCUGCCUCCACCUCGCCGGAAUCGCCGGCCGCCGCAUCCGACGACCCCCACAGCCUCCUGCUCCCACAGCCACCUGCUCUAGCUCCGCCUUCGCUUCAUCCUCUUUCCACCACAAUCUUGGAACCUUUCGGGAUUCCAUCGGAGUUCCUCCCUCUCGAAGCCUAUCGAACCAGGCAGGAGGUGAUGGCGGCAUUGGCGGCGAGUGCUGGAGUUGUGGCGCCAAGGGGGCAUUCCUCUCCUGCGGGUCCUGCAGGAGUGUGCAGCCCGUUGAUCCUGCGGUCGACUACUUCCGAAUAUUUGGCCUGGACAGAGGAUAUGACGUAAAGGAUACCAACUUAGAAGGAAAGUACAAAGACUGGCAGAAGAAGUUACAUCCUGACCUUGUUCAUUCUAAAUCAGAGAAAGAGAGAGAUUUUGCGGCCGGGCAGUCAGCACUUGUCAUUGAGGCAUAUCGCACACUGAGCAAACCUUUACCAAGGGCAUUGUACUUGCUGCAACUUGAGGGGAUACACGUUGAUGAGGAGAAGACUAUCAAUGAUCCAGAACUUCUUAUGGAGAUGAUGGAGAUACGCGAAGCAGUUAGCGAAGCCGGUGAUUCGCAAACUCUGAAGAAGAUCCAAUCUCAGAUGAAGAGUAAGCUCGAAACCUGGGCCAAAUCCUUCCAGGAAGCGUUCAACAAGAGGGACUUCGACGGCGCCGUGGAAGCUACACAGAGGAUGAGAUACUAUGAACGUGCUAUGGAAGAAACUGUGAAGAAGCUUUGA